AAUAGGCAAUAAAACAAAAGCAGAGUCAUGUCAUAUUCACUGUGGACCGACUGAGACGUGCCAUACAGACGUGCCAUAAAAGUAAAGAAACGGGAGAUUCGGCGGUUGUUACCUGUGGGAAGUUCAUCACACCUGUCUACAACAUGCCUCUGACCAUAUCUCAGGACGAAGGUUUGACGAUUGUCAUGGUCAACUCAAACCCAAAGAGUAAAUGGCCCGUACUGUGCCAGAUUCUGGGUUAUCUGUGCUACAGUCCAGUGUGCUCUGUGUCUCGGAUUAUGAUCGGAGAGCUGGCGAACAUCCACAUUGGUCUCGGGAUUGUGCAGAUGAUCAUUGGCGUCCUCAAUAUUGCAAUGGGGACUUUGUUAAUGUGCCUUGGAUAUUAUGAAAACAUGUUUUACAUGGGCCAGGGACCCUUUUGGAUUGGUGGUGUGGUCCUUGGAAUUGGCGUUGUCUGUAUUCUUGUAGCGAAGUUUCCCUCUUCUUGUCUGCUGAUCAUAGGAAUGCUAUUAAACAUGAUCAGCGCUGGACUGGCCAUCGCUGCUAUUGUGUUGUAUGCAAAAGACCUUUCAUAUGGUCAUGAUCAAUACUGUCGAUCUUAUUAUUAUUAUCAAUCUUAUGAGAGUAGAACACCGACCCCUGAAGAGAGCCAGAGACAGGUGAUCUGUGAGUACUACAACAAUCUCAAUAAGAUGAUCUGCGGAGGUCUGGAUAUCAUGAUGAUCGUGCUGUCGGUGCUUCAGCUCUGCGUGGCCAUCAGUCUCUGUGUUUUGACUUUGAAAACUCUGUGCAAGAAAACCGAGAAUGCAAAGGAGGAUCUAGAACAUGGAAAGCCACUUCUGGAUGAUGACAUUGCUGGUGCUGCAUGAUAAAAUGAGCACACAAAAUAAUCGUAGUUAUUUUAUAUUCUUUGCGAAUGUCAUAUUCUACUAAAAUGCAGAUUACUUUACUGAUUAAAUGAGAUUAAUUACACAUAUUUUGCUUUUUAUAAAAGUGGUGUUACCACUGAUCUGUCUCUCUUUCUGUAUAAACAAAGAUCUGUGCGCAUUUCAGUGUCUUUUCAAUUUUGUUAAUACUUUGGGCUGCUUUCUUAUAAUUAUAUAAAUAAAUGGCUUGAGCAAU